rnacentral:rRNA from 1 species
AGCUCCAAUAGCGUAUAUUAAAGUUGUUGCAGUUAAAAAGCUCGUAGUUGGAUUUUGGGGUACGGUGGGCCCGGUCUGCCGGGAUGGUGUGUACUGGCUCACCUACCCUUCCUUCCGGUUUGCUACUUCCUGCUCUUAACUGAGUGGGGAGCCAGCUCCGGAUCGUUUACUUUGAAAAAAUUAGAGUGUUUAAAGCAGGCAUAACCAAUUGCCUUGAAUACUACAGCAUGGGAUAAUAGAAUAGGACUCUGUACCUAUUUUGUUGGUUUCUAGGUGUGGAGUAAUGAUUAAUAGAGAUAGUUGGGGGUAUUCAUAUUUAAUUGUCAGAGGUGAAAUUCUUGGAUUUAUGAAAGAUGAACUUCUGCGAAAGCAUUUAUCAAGGAUGUUUUCA